GGCAUGCAAGUCGAACGAGGACGCUGCUUCGGCAGUUAUUAGAGUGGCGAACGGGUGAGUAACGCGUGGGAACCUACCUUUAGGAACGGAAUAACGCAGGGAAACUUGUGCUAAUACCGUAUACGCCCUAUGGGGGAAAGAUCGGCCGCUCUUAUAUGGUCCCGCGUCUGAUUAGCUAGUUGGCGAGGUAAUGGCUCACCAAGGCGACGAUCAGUAGCUGGUUUGAGAGGAUGAUCAGCCACACUGGGACUGAGACACGGCCCAGACUCCUACGGGAGGCAGCAGUGGGGAAUAUUGGACAAUGGGCGAAAGCCUGAUCCAGCAAUGCCGCGUGAGGGAAGAAGGCCUUAGGGUUGUAAAACUCUUUCGCCGGUGAAGAUGAUGACUGUAACCGGUAAAGAAGCCCCGGCUAACUCCGUGCCAGCAGCCGCGGUAAUACGGAGGGGGCUAGCGUUAUUCGGAAUUACUGGGCGUAAAGCGCACGCAGGCGGCGUGAAUAGUAAGAGGUGAAAGCCCCGGGCUCAACCCGGGAGGGAAUUGCCUUUAAUACUUUCAUGCUAGAGUACUGGAGAGGGUAGUGGAAUUCAAAGUGUAGAGGUGAAAUUCGUAGAUAUUUGGAAGAACACCAGUGGCGAAGGCGGCUACCUGGACAGAUACUGACGCUGAGAUGCGAAAGCGUGGGGAGCGAAACAGGAUUAGAUACCCUGGUAGUCCCACGCCGUAAAACGAUGGAUGCUAGGUGUCGGGGCCUUUAAGUUUUCAGUGACGUAGCUAACGUGUUAAGCACACCGCCUGGGGAGUACGGUCGCAAGAUUAAAACUCAAAGGAAUUGACGGGGGCCCGCACAAGCGGUGGAGCAUGUGGUUUAAUUCGAAACAACGCGCAGAACCUUACCAGCCCUUGACAUACCAGUCGCGGAUCGUGGAGACACUUUCCUUCAGUUCGGCUGGAUUGGAUACAGGUGCUGCAUGGCUGUCGUCAGCUCGUGUCGUGAGAUGUUGGGUUAAGUCCCGCAACGAGCGCAACCCUCACCUCUAGUUGCCACGGGUAAUGCCGGGCACUUUAGAGGAACUGCCGGUGACAAGCCGGAGGAAGGUGGGGAUGACGUCAAGUCCUCAUGGCCCUUACGGGCUGGGCUACACACGUGCUACAAUGGCGGUGACAAUGGGUUGCAACCUGGCGACCCCGAGCUAAUCCCCAAAAACCGUCUCAGUUCGGAUUGUUCUCUGCAACUCGAGAGCAUGAAGUUGGAAUCGCUAGUAAUCGUGGAUCAGCAUGCCACGGUGAAUACGUUCCCGGGCCUUGUACAACACCGCCCGUCAAGGA
rnacentral:rRNA from 1 species